rnacentral:ncRNA from 1 species
AAGGUCAGUUAGAGAAACUGUAAGAAAACAUUGUUGGCCAGACUGUUUUCUCCUGGAAUAGCUUCCACUGAAAAUAAUACUGCUACUACUGCUUUAAAAAAACAAAUCAGCAAAAACAAAUGCUGUGCACUCAUUGAGAAUUGUGUUCAAAGCUGGCUGGCCAACAGUGCACUCCAGCCAGGAAUAACAGAGUAAGACUCUGGCUCUUUUUUUGUUGUUUUUUGGAAGCAGAAUCAUGAUUAAAAGUAAUGGUUCAAAGUGUUCAUAUAGUGCCACUUGAAAUGAAAUUCUUGGACCAGUGUAAGAUUAACUAAGGCAAAAACAUUUGCCAAGAAUGUUUUCAUUAAUCAAGAACAAAAGCUGGAGGUUUGUGGUCAUAGAAUCAUAGAAUAGAAUCUUUUCAACUGGAAAAGACCUUUAAGAUCACUGAGUGGUCAACUCACUGUCUCGUGGUGUUAACUCCCGUCAUCUGUCAGGCAGCUGCUAGAAUGCUUAAGUCUUUGGGUU